rnacentral:rRNA from 1 species
UACGGGGGGGGCAAGCGUUGUUCGGAAUUACUGGGCGUAAAGGGUUUGUAGGUGGCUUGUUAAGUCAGACGUGAAAUCCCUCAGCUUAACUGGGGAACUGCGUCUGAUACUGGCGAGCUUGAGUGCAGGAGAGGAACGCGGAAUUCCAGGUGUAGCGGUGAAAUGCGUAGAUAUCUGGAGGAACACCGGUGGCGAAGGCAGGUCUCUGGGCAUUAACUGACGCUGAGGAGCGAAAGCAUGGGGAGCGAACAGG